CACGUAGGGUGCGAGCGUUGUCCGGAUUUAUUGGGCGUAAAGAGCGUGUAGGCGGCCAGGUAGGUCUGGUGUGAAAACUCGAGGCUUAACCUCGAGAUGUCAUCGGAAACCAUCUGGCUAGAGUCCGGAAGAGGAGAGUGGAAUUCCUGGUGUAGCGGUGAAAUGCGCAGAUAUCGGAGGGAACACCAGUGGCGAAGGCGGUGGUCUGGGCCGUAACUGACGCUCAGGCACGAAAGCGUGGGGAGCAAACAGG
rnacentral:rRNA from 1 species